UGUAAAUGAACACGGUCGUACGCAUCAACAAAUUAAAAAUGUUAUAUAGGUGUAAAAAACAAGUAAAAAUCUGUUUGUACGAUAAAAGCUACUCCGAAUUGAUGUAAAAUGAAAAUCUAGAUAAGAAGGGCUAAUAAACGGUGAGGGUCGAAUAUAUAAAACGGUUUUAACUUUACAAAGAUCUGGGAUUUGCAGUUGCUUGCUUUCAUGUUUACGCAUCCUAUAAGUGUGCACGCGUUCGUAUUUAGACGUUUGAAGCGGUUGGUGGAGGUAUCUGAAGUCAGCUGGACUGGUUUUAGUUAGGCCACUUCUUUCGCGCCUGAUGUUUCUUUUCGGAGGAGAAAACGAUAGUGAGUACAUUUAUACAAAGUUUCGUUUAGUUGCGUG